rnacentral:rRNA from 1 species
UACGUAGGGUGCGAGCGUUAAUCGGAAUUACUGGGCGUAAAGCGUGCGCAGGCGGUUCGUUAAGACAGAUGUGAAAUCCCCGGGCUUAACCUGGGAACUGCAUUUGUGACUGGCGGGCUAGAGUAUGGCAGAGGGGGGUAGAAUUCCACGUGUAGCAGUGAAAUGCGUAGAGAUGUGGAGGAAUACCGAUGGCGAAGGCAGCCCCCUGGGCCAAUACUGACGCUCAUGCACGAAAGCGUGGGGAGCAAACAGG